CUACGGGGGGCUGCAGUGGGGAAUAUUGCGCAAUGGAGGAAACUCUGACGCAGCGACGCCGCGUGAGUGAUGAAGUAUUUCGGUAUGUAAAGCUCUAUCAGCAGGGAAGAUAAUGACGGUACCUGACUAAGAAGCACCGGCUAAAUACGUGCCAGCAGCCGCGGUAAUACGUAUGGUGCAAGCGUUAUCCGGAUUUACUGGGUGUAAAGGGAGCGUAGGUGGUAUGGCAAGCCAGAAGUGAAAACCCGGAGCUCAACUCCGCGGAUUGCUUUUGGAACUGUUGUACUAGAGUGCAGGAGGGGUAAGCGGAAUUCCCAGUGUAGCGGUGAAAUGCUUAGAUAUUGGGAGGAACACCAGAGGCGAAGGCGGCUUACUGGACUGUAACUGACACUGAGGCUCGAAAGCGUGGGGAGCAAACAGGAUUAGAUACCCGUGUAGUC
rnacentral:rRNA from 1 species